GACCUGACAGUUGAAGGAAGAAAUCCAGGUAGCAAAGUCACCUGAGCAUAGAGAGGCCAGUCAGGUGGAGGCGGCCUGUGCACAGGUGGCAGUGGGAAAGGCCUGUUCCUGCAGUUCCAGAAGUACACUAAUGGGGACCAAGGAUUCAAUUAUAUGAGCCUACGGGGGCCGUUCUCAUCCAAACGGCCACAGAUCCGCAUUUAAAAGAGCCAGAAGCUUUACUGAGCGGCGUGUUUGCUUCUUGAGCAAUGCAGCUCAACUGGAGAGUCCCAGCUGCGUGUAGCCUUCCGGACCUGUGCCUCCUUGAGCUCCUGGGGACGUCCGGAGGAAGCCUUGCGACGAGGAGAAGUCGUGGCAGAAAGUGUGAAUGCUCGUAAAUUAUUACCGGAGGAUCCUUCUACUACCGGAGGCUCCUUUGGCUCAGUUAUGCCGGGUUAGGAGUGACCGUGAGAACCCAGCAUCCGGAACGAGGCCAGGAACACAGACGACUUUAGCGAGCAAGCCAUUGUGUCUGUUGAUGGACACAGGAGAAUAAAGACUAGGCGAGUGCUGCGCUGGUCGGCUGGUUUCAGAAGGGCCAGAAAUUCAAGUUCUGGAAACGUUAACUAAACUCAAGCCUCUGAGCAUGCGCGCUGGGCUCUCCAGCAGAGUCUUGGGAUUCUGGCCGGAAGCAGCACAUAGGUGCCUCGUUAGCGCAGUAGGUAGCGCGUCAGUCUCAUAAUCUGAAGGUCGUGAGUUCGAUCCUCACACGGGGCACAAUACUUUUGGCCGCUCCGGGUCUAAUUUCUUGCCAGAAGGAAAUUUUACUCUUUCUCCUGGAAUGUCUUGCGUUGGCGAGGUGUGGAAUGGCUGCCGUGUUCUAAGCGGACCUGGACCUUGAAAACAAUCUGGUGAUCGAUGGGGUCGCGGACUGCCCCGGGGAGGGAGGCGGUCCGUUUCUGCUUGGUUCAGGAAACAGUGUGGUGCGAGGGGCGUGAAGCCGGGAGGGAGGAGGUGGGGACCCGCCCAGGCGCUCGAGGUCUCUAGGGGUCCUGGCCACUCCUGCAGGCAGCAGCCGUGCGACCACAGGUCAGAUAGCAAGUCCCGUGGGGCUUGUUGGCUAUCGCUCAUCCUCCACCUUCCCAGCAGCUACCCUCCCGGGUUACAGCCCUUCUUCAGAGCGUCUUGGGGCAGUGGAGGGUCAGUCAUUUUCUGGGGUGUGUUUACUUCAGUGGCUGAUUCGGGGGCUCGGAAGACAGGCACAGAUGGCCCUCUUCACUCCCUGGGAUCCAAACUUCCCUGAAAACUCUCUGGAUCACCACCAGCCCCCACUCUGGGUGGUAGUACGCAGUAACGUCAGUUGGUCCUCUAUUAAUUCCCAUCGCGCCUGGCUUUUCUUUUCCUUCGUACACAUCAUUCCAUAGUUUCCUUGGAGGAGGCUUAGAGAACACUUAGCAAGCGAACACGUGGCUCUACCACAAGGUCCUUCCUUAAGGGGACCCUGCCUUCCCUUCAACCAUGAGGUUUGGGGUCUGAAAUAUAGGGAUGACCGUAAAUGGAACCGGGGCUUCAGGUCAACUGUGUGGCUCAAGUUGGACUCUGGGCCAUUGGGUCUGGAGUCUUUCCUCUUACGUACACCGUUUUGUUGUUUUGAUUUUUGAGACAUGAUUUCUCUGUGUAGCCCUGGCUGUCCUGGAACUCUCUCUGUAGACCAGGUUGGUCUCCAACUCACAGAGAUCCUCCUGCCUCUACCUCCCGAGUGUUAGGAUUAAAGGCAUGCGCCACCAUUUUAGUAGUCUGCCUGUCUCCUUCCUUAGAGACAAAACAAUAACCAAGGAGCCCUAACUGAUUGCCUGACUGAACCUUGCUGUCCACCGCUGACCUGGGAAUUGAAAAGCCCGUUGGGUCCCUGCUACCACAGACUGCAGUCGUAGGCGUGGCAUUUCUUAUUGUCUGCCAUCAGAGCCACAAUGGACAUCCUCAGCUUUGCAGACAUUUCGCCUUUGCGAUGUCUUACUGGAGUCUGGUUUUUGGACUCCAAGCCUGGACUUGGGAGGUGUGUGUGGGGUCAUGUCAUAAAUCUUGGUUUCUGUUCCUGGCUUCCUAAGCUUUGAAGACCUUUAUCCACACUAAGGAUUCCUAAGAUUUUUUUUCCACCCAUGACCCCUCCCUUUUUGGCCUGAGAAAUUUUACGAGAACCUGGGUUUAUAAGUAUAUAAAUACAUAUACAAAUAAAAUUUAUUGAGAAGAAA